ACCAGAACAAUAAGAAGGCUAUGGAAACAACAGAGGAAGCAUCCUAUUUAGGCCUUUUGAUGUGCUGUGUCCAGAAUCCGGCUGGGGCUCCGUGGCCUCUCCUCAACCUUCUGCCUGUUUGUUUGUUUGCGGGAUGAGGUAGGCGGAGGGCCUCAGGGAGACGCUCAUCUCACAGCCUUCCAGAGUAAAUAACACUGAUGCCAAGGCUCUUGGCCAUAAAUCAGGGGUGAGAUUAUGGGCUCCAGGUAUGUUUUCAAUCGGUUCAAAGAUGGUAGAUUUAUAUACAAAGACCCUAAUUCAACACAUCUGGUGGCUCUUCCUCCCCCUCCCCAAAAGGCGAAAGGUGAGCAGGCUUUCCUUGGUGGAGAUGAUUAGGCUUCCACUCAGGAGUUGAUGGCGAAAUGCCUCUUCACCUGGGGGUAGCAUGAAGCCAGAACAGUCAAGAAGGCAGGCUGCCGUCACUGGGGGAGCCUGUGCUUCUCCAGGCUGGGGCGUUUUUCAGGUGUUUUGCCAACAAAAACUUGAGACGUCGCCAUCUGAUCAGGGUGCUUGCCCGGCCCGAUGGCCCGGCCCAUCAGACGGCUUGGAGCGCCAGGCCCUCCAAAGAACUGGCAGGCAGGCCCCAGGGCCCUCAGGGUCUUUUGCUGGGGAGAGUGGUUUUGUCCUCAGGCCUCACUCUCUUCUGCGGUGUGGUUGGGGGAUCAGAAUUCCCAGGGAAAGAGAACACCAGGUCACACGGCCCUUGGGGACACCUGCCUGCCCGGCCCUCCCUCCCAGUGUCCUCAGCUGAGCUCUUUGAGCCUCCCUGGGCGACCUUCCCUCCCUCCUUGGGCCACAGAAAGCAAAUGACAAGCGUUCUGAGACAGGACUGUUGACAAAGCCUCCUCUCCCUGGCACUCGCGAUAAGGCAUUCCCAGACAUUCGGAGGGAAUCUGAGAACUUAAAGUCUGGCUCAGUUAUCUCCAAAGGGCUCAGUGCUGGGAGGACAUUGUGCCCACCGUGCCCUGGGCAGUGCCGUACACAAAGCCACCGUCGUCUCAGGGGACUCUUCUGAUGAGGAGUCGGCUUCCAGCAUCCCUGAAAAGCGGAGGAGGGGGAACCACAGUGGAUUUCUGUUGCUUGCAGCCAGGGAUCCCAACUCAGGGAAAGCGACCUCUGCCGUCAGGCCCAGGAGCCCACUGGUCUCAGGCAUCUUCCUUCUGAGCCACUGGUGUGGUCUCAUUUUGUGGAUGACACAUAGCAAUUCUUCUUUCCCUCUUGGGAUUGGCUGCCGGGAGUCUCAGGGACAACUCUGGGGUGGUGCCUGGGGCAGGUGGUCAGGAUGACGUGCCCCCCAGCCCCUAAAGUAAAUAAGUAAGUCUUAAAAAAAAAAUCUCAACAAGCUACCCUAAAACCCUGUUGGAACGAGGUGGAAUCCAGAAAGCAGCCUCUCCAGUAGAACACGCGCACCGAUGCCCUACACCCCUCGGGAACAUCUCCCUGGAGCUGUUAGAUCAGAGAAUUAAAAGUAUUUUUCAUCUUUAAGAGAGUCUUUAAGGACCAAUAGAAAAUACUUAGAAACAUGGAAGACUUCAGGCAAUAAAUAUUUAUUGAGCACCGCCCUGGCACCGGUUCAGAUACUGAGGGCGCAGGGCUUUGUAAAAAUCUUUGCCACAGUGGAAAUGAUAUUCCUGCACGGGAGGAAGAAGAUAGGCGGCAAUACCGUGUUGGAGAGCAAGGAUUUUUGAGGAAGAACGAAGCAGCCUGCGAGGACACAGAGCGGGCUCCCACAGACAGAGCUCAUUGUGGCCGGGGAACUAGACUCGGGCCAGUGGGAACAAAUGAAAGUAUGUGAACAACCUCCAGGGGAGAAGAGUGCCUUUCUAUGCCUUUCCUCUCUCCGGUGCUGGAAUGCCGUUCUGAUGGCUUGAGCUCAUGCAACCAUCUUGGGUCACGAGGUGGAUGCCUUUGCUGAGCACAGCAGAGCAGCCUGAGAGAAGGACCCUGGGUCUCUGACAACUUCACGAAGCCCCCGACCAGUCCUGGGAUCCUGACAUGCCUACCUCUGGAUUUGUCUUAUGUGAGAGAAAAUCACUUUCACCUUUUCAAAGAUAACUUUUCUGUCCCUUGCUGCUGAACCAACAGAGGCUUUCCCUUCACUGUGGCUGUUUGUGCAAGUCCCUCAUCACGACAGAGAUGAAGAAAGAGCCCCAGAGAGGGGGCGUGAUCUGCCCAAGGUCGCAGAGCUCCUCUUACAUAAGCAUUUCAUUUCAAGCCUGCAUGAAAUAAUUGUCGGAGCAAACAGCGCUUGCCUCUCAAGGGCCAGCCAAGACCGUGGCUCGGCAAGUUCACGGGAGGACUAAUCGAUGGGGCUGGGGACACUUUGAAGGCCUUCGCCACCCGCCACCCACCACCAUGGUGGCCAUCAGCCCAGGUUUGCCCCAUCUUCCCCGACGCCGCGUGCAGAACCUGGUUCCUCCAUCUGACUCAGAGAAAUCGCUCCCCUGAGGCUCUGGGACAGUUGGGUGUGUGGAUCCAUCGUGUCUCGUCACACUUUUUGAUGUGUGACACCCCUGUGCUGGGUUCCUCUCGGCAGAUAGAAGCUCCCACAGGCUCUCCGCACCCCUGCUCCUAUUUGUCUGCAUUUCCUGUUGGCAGAGACCAUGGCAGCCCUGCCCCCGCAACCUCCUGUCGGGGACCCCUCCUCUGAUUGAUGAGGGGUGACACAGCUUAUUCUGGCUACCGCCUUGCCAUUGGGUCUCCCCAGACUCCUAGCUGCCCCUUCCUCCUUGUCCUGAGAGCCUGCGGUGGCAUUUCAUGGACUUCUCUUGGCUACAAGAGAGACAAUUUCUCAGUAGAGAGUCGGAUGUCACCCUGAUGACAAAAUAGGGCCUGUAGCCAGAGAGAGACCCUUCCCAGCCCGACGUCAGACAAUGAGCCUCACCGGGAAGACACGGCAUGUGCACCUGUCCUUCCGGUUCUCUGUGGGGGGGACAUGCCCAUUUUACAGAAGUGGAAGCCGGAGUUGAAAGGUUGAUGUGUCCCAGGCCACUCCAGCUAGGCAGACCCAGCACCGGGAUCUAGCCCCUGCCCCGGACAGACCCCACGGCCCCUCUACCCCCUUCCCAGCCUCCACCUUAGGAGGCAGUCUCCACACACUGACCCUGAAAGGGUAACAGCUGGAGAAGGGGAGUGGCCUCCCACUGCCAGCUAUGCACCCCUACCCCUGGUCAGGGGCCCUCCCCCUGGACCCACAGCCCUUGCUGUACCACAGCUGUCCGACAUCCUGCAGAGGAGCUGGUUUCCAUUCAUCCUGGAGUCACCAGCAAAGGGUGGUGUAACCUCAUUUACACGAGAGUGUGACUGACCCUUGUCUGUCUAACGGCUCCCCCACUGCAGAUGUCAGUGUCACAAUCAAGGGGACUGUUCCUAGAGUUUAGUGAAGGGUACAGCUGCCAACAGCAAGCAGGGGUCUUCCCAGGGGAUCCCUCAAAUUACAGCCCCGGGCCGUGCCAGGGAGGCACUUCGGGCCAGGAUGGAAGCUCACGGGCUGUGCAGUGAGCAGAGGAGUAUCGCUCACUAUGCAGCUGCUGGACAGAAAUCCCACUCCUGAAGAGUGCUCCCGGGAGAGCUGGAGGCUGCUGUCUGAACCCCCAGAGCUGAACUAGAGGUCUACAUGCUCCUCCCCUGCAGAUGUACAUGGUGCAGCCAGCGGCGCCCCGGGCCUUCCCCGGCGUGACCCCUCCUCCGGGCAGCCUCUCUGGUCCCCCCUCUUCAGCCUUCACCGUCCUGGUGAAACGGCUCGUGCAUUCGUGCCUUUGCCCUGAGAAUCAGUGCUUCCUGGAAUCCACCCUCCUCCUCUGUGUGCAUGGAGCCGCCCGUUCUCUGACCUCCAGGGAGGCUGCCUCCCCGUGACAAGCACUGUCCCCGUGUCCCCGGCCUGGCCGCCCGAGGGCUGCCUCACGGGAGAUGGGUCCUCGGCCGGUCUCGUGGGGAUCUCAAACACUUGGCAACACCGUGUAGCUGAGUGAGAACUUUUCUGCAAACAUCUGAUUGCCUAAUUCACAUGCCUCCUCCCUCUGCCUUGAAUCUCAGACACUUUGAGAACAAACCAAAAAUAAUUAGUCCUUUUCCAGCUAAUUUACUCACUUUUGCAAAAUGCUCACUCUGUCCCCCUCUGCCCUUGGAGGUUACCUCCUGAAGGGAGCCCCAGGGGACCCUGAAGAUGGAGGGUCAGUCCUGGGGGUGUUCUGGCUUGGACCAAGGCUGACCCCAGUGGGCUCUGACCUCUGACCCCUGAGGGGAAGCAUGGCAUGGGGCCCCCUCCUGUCACGCAGGGGAGGACGCCUGUGUUCCUGUCCUGGAGCUUCCUCCGGGAGCCAGGGGACGCUUUUCAGCUUUGUCCCUCAUUCACCCACCCACCCAUUCACUGCCGAUGGAGUGAUGUCAUUCAUUCAUUCAUUCAUUCAUUCAUUCAUGUACUAAACAGAGGACAGAGGGUGGGGCUGGCAGACGGAUCCAAGUCAGACUUGGUGGCUGAAUUCCUGUGAGUCAAGAGGUCGACUCUGCCCCAGAAAGGGCCUCUGCCCUGCCCCCAGCGUCCCCAGCCGGCCCCGCUGCCAGGAAGGCCCUCAGAGGGCCCCGCUCCACCACCCCCCGUAGGCCCCCUCUAGGAAUCACAGGCAGGACGCGCAUGAUCUAGGAACAUGGAGCUAGUUAUUCACCGUCCCUGAGCGUCUGGGGUCUGGGCCAGCCGGCCAGGAGGCCAGGACCCCCAUGAGGGUCCCUGCUUGUCUCGUGAGGCAGAGGGGAGUGUUCAGUGCUGUUGCUCAGGACGGAAACUCCCUGUGGUGCAGGGGCGGGCUGGCCUCCUAAUUCUCAGCCCGGGCACAACGCACAACGUCCCCUCUUCCUGCGGUGGCAGCGGUGGCGGCGAGUGGCUCAGGGGUUGGGCGAGGAGGCUCCCCCACAGCCCUGCCCCUACCAGCCGCCAGAGCCCCUGGUGGGUGGCUUCCUCUAGCCGGCCUUGGCUGUGCAUAAAGUGGGAUGGAAACCAGACCCCGAGCCGAGAGCCCUCCAUACACCCCCACUAGGUGCUUCCCUACCCGUCCUUUGGGCUGGACACUGUUACUUGUCCCACUUUACCAAUGAGGGUACCAGGGCACAGAAAGGUGAGGCAGCUUCCUCUGGGUGGCCCAGUGGGUGAACGAGAGUCCAGUCAAACGCUGGGGUCUGGCUCCAAAGCCUUGGCAUCAGAGACGCCGUCUUGGGGCCCUUGAGGCUCCAGCACAUCACAGCCUGAAGGCCUCACUAGACGUCCUGACUCAGCACUCCGUCCAGGCAGUACGGGGGUUCCCAAGGGACGGGGAGACUUGCCCUCAGGGGACGCAGGGCAGCGUCUGGAGACGUAGCUGGGUUGUCACAAGCAAGGGUGGGGUGCUACUGGCCUCUGGUGGGUGGGGGCCAGGGAUGCUGGCAAACAUCGCACCUGUGCACGGGACAGCCCCCACGACGAGCAACAAUACAGCCCCAAAUGUCAGCAGUGCCCAAGUGGAGAAACUGGGGUGCUCAUUAUUACUCUCAGGAGGGGUCUGCCUCCGGAGGGCACCUUGCAUCACCUACCCACCUACCUAGGUCGGACCUGCUGUCCUGGGAGUGCUUUCCUCGCUGGCUGGCUUGGGCACUGCCCAGAAGCCACACGCAUGGGGAUUUGGAGCGCAGACCGGGUGCCCGGACCCCCAUCCCUUCGACACCCCUGCAAAUCCCACCACUCCUUACUUGUCAGCAGAGGGUCCAGCGCUGUCUCCUCCAUCUGAGCGCCCUCCACGUGCUCGCCUCUCAUGGGUGCCGAUCCCGGCGGCGGGUGGGGACGCCAGGGCUGCAUGGCCCCACUGGGCUGGGAUCUCAGGCAAGGUGGCAGAAGCCACUCCCAAGGGUGAGCAGGGUUUGCAAAAUGAGUCAGCGGGCAAGAGGGCUGGCAGCCAGGUGUCGAUCGUGGGUUAAUCAUUAACACACAGACACUUCCCUGGGAUCCCAAGGGACCCUCGGGCUUGGCCUCAGCCUUGGCCGUGGUCCUGGGAGACCCUCCGCAUCGGGGCCCACCUUGGCCUGGUUGUCUGCUCAAGGGGAGGUCCGCACCCAGGGACCUGUCUCCCUUCAUCCACAUGGCUUCGGCUCUGAAAAGUCAGGGCCACAGGAGGAGAGCGGUCCCAUUUUACAGUCCACACUGGGGACAGUCCCUUCAGACCACCAUUCCCUCAGCGCCUCCUCUGUUUCCCACGCUGUGCCAGGCGCUCAGCGCAGAUCACCUCCUUGGACAUUGCCCCAACCCUGCAAGUGACGAGCUGUGUCCCCAUCUCUCCCCGUGACGGAGAGAAGCCCCACAGGUGGCUGUCCCGCGACAGGUGAAGAGCAAGAAGAAAAGGAAUAACUCGUUUCUUCAUUUGGGGUCUCUGUUUCCU